UGAGCCACAUCUGCUCCCUGCUUGUUUGUUUUUGCUUGUUGUCUGCUCGUUGUUUGUUUGUCUUCUUUAGGAGGCACUGGGAACCGAACCCGGACCUGCCAUGUGGGAAGCAGGCACUCAACCACUUGAGCCACAUCUGCUCCCCAAGAUGUGUGUUUUGAAUUGGGAUACAGAGAUGAAUACAGAACCCCCCUCACCCCCUAACUUCCCAACUCAAGCCUCUGAAAUUCCUGGUUUUCAGAAUUCCUGUCUUCAUGGGGAUCCCAGAGGCCUCUCUUGUGGACCUGGAACGCAGUGGGGAGGUUUCCUUGGGUGAAGAAGCAGCCUCCAAACCUGAAGCAUCUUUGAGGCAUUGUCUGCGAUGGAAAAUGGGAGGCCUUCACUCUUUAUCCUGUGGCUCUAGGAUUUCUCAAGGAGCCUUUGAAAAGCAAAGCAAACAAGAAUUCCACCAGAAUCUCUGGUCAUGCCAGUUAUAGAGAAUCUAAAGUGAGCAGAGCACCCCGGGAGGGGGCAGCUGGGGUGGCCCCAAUUCCUUCACUUAGUCAAAUGGUGGUUUUGAAUAGGGAAGGUUUUGUAAUUUUAUUUCUCGCCGGUCCUUACUCUUAGUCACAGGUUUACAAUGGUAAAAUCUUAAAUCAUUUAUGGGACUGGGCAACGUGGGAGACGGGGCUGGUCUCAGUGGUUUGGAACCUUGGAUCCCUCUCCCAGCUGGUUCCCCGGUUUGUAAAGGGCUGGGGGGAU
rnacentral:lncRNA from 1 species